UAUCUCUCUCGUUUUUAUCAUUUUCCUCUGAAAAUGAUCUAUUCUAACAGCAGUCGCCAAGUAUUAUUAUUAUUCGAAUUCACUGUUCGGUAUCCUCGCAAUAAUUUCAUUUCAACAAUACACGGCCGUUGAUUCUAAAAUCGUUGUUCUUAAAGCGGGUCUCGCGAAAGUCUCAGCGAAACUGUCGGCCCUAUCUGACCUGGUUGCGGUAUCGGGUUUCACCGAUCGGAUGUCUCCCGGGCGGCGUUAAUUCGACCAACGAUAAAGUCGUCGGAUUUCGUCGGAGCAGUCACGGAGUUUCGGACGACUCGUCGCAUCUAGGCGGCGUCGGAGAUGCCACGCGAGUCUCCGAACUUAUAUACUCGAUGCGCCUUUCUCCAGUAAUCUCCCGUAAUCUCGGCGGUUCGUUGUACCUCUCGCCUGUCGCGCGCAUACCUUUUGCCGGAACGGUCCCUCUUCCCCUCGCCCAUCGCAUCUUCUUGCACGACGAUCAGCUCCCGAGUCGCGCCGGCACCAGAGGUCGAUCACUGAGACUGGGCUUUGCUUUUCUUCUCCCGAGCGGAAGCUUAACGCGAGGAGGCCCGUGCAGGAGGGCCGGCUUCGUUGAAGGACGCCGGAGAUCGAUAGGAUGACUCGACCGUGCCAGAUCCUUCUGCUGGCGUGACUGGGCCUUUUCGGCAAGAUGUUAAUGAGAAGGUGCCGCCGGUACACCUGCGCAGCUGCGAAGGGGUUAGGGAACCGCCGCUCCAACGGACCGACGCCGCGGUGUGUUACGCUACAAGGAACAUACACUCGUGACCCGUUAACCAGAUAAAUGGACGCACCUCGGAAAUCUCCGCUCGAUCCUAAGGAAACCAACACGAGGUUAUUAACGAGGUUAUUGACGAAGUUGUCGGCGAAGUAACGCGUGCCGAAGACGGAACCGAUCGCAACGUUCGACCGUGACAAAUAAGAAAUCUUUGUUAAUCUUGUUACACACGAGAUUGCCUGUUAAUUUUACGGCCGUUCUCGUUUCACAGUUCGAUCUCAUCGCGGCUGCGUUUUAUUCGUAAUUUCAUGUUUUGAAGAAAUACAUAGAAUCAUAGAGAAUUUCGCAGAAUA